AAUUCUGUCAAAAUAUACACUUGAGUAUGUUUUGGAUUGUGGGAGUGUCUGCUGGCUAUUGAAUAUAUAUUAAAUAUAUACAUGAGCCAGCUCUCCUGAAAGACAUUAGCUUUGGAGGGGAUGUGCCAAGUCACUUCUGCCUUUCCAUUGGUGUGAUAGAUGAAUAAACUUAUCUACGCCAGGAAAGCAGGUUGCAGGUGAAGCACUGUGAUCUCUCUCUGCUAUCUAAUUGACAUUUGUCUGAUA
rnacentral:misc_RNA from 1 species